UACGAAGGGGGGCUAGCGUUGUUCGGAAUUACUGGGCGUAAAGCGCGCGUAGGCGGUGAUCUUUGUCAGAGGUGAAAUCCCGAGGCUCAACUUCGGAAUUGCCUUUGAAACGGGAUCGCUUGAGUCCGAGAGAGGAUGGCGGAAUUCCUAGUGUAGAGGUGAAAUUCGUAGAUAUUAGGAAGAACACCGGUGGCGAAGGCGGCACUCUGGGACGGUACUGACGCUGAGACGCGAAAGCGUGGGGAGCGAACAGG
rnacentral:rRNA from 1 species